AAUGAACGCUGGCGGCGCGCCUAAUACAUGCAAGUCGAGCGAGAAGACGUAGCAAUACGUUUGUAAAGCGGCGAACGGGUGAGGAAUACAUGGGUAACCUACCCUCGAGUGGGGAAGUAACUAGCCGAAGGUUAGCUAAUACCGCGUACGCUUCUUGGACUUCGGUUCAGGGAGGAAAGCGAUACCGUGGGUAUCGCGCUCUUGGAUGGGCUCAUGUCCUAUCAGCUUGNGGUGAGGUAACGGCUCACCAAGGCUUCGACGGGUAGCUGGUCUGAGAGGACGAUCAGCCACACUGGCACUGCGACACGGGCCAGACUCCUACGGGAGGCAGCAGUAAGGAAUAUUGCGCAAUGGGCGAAAGCCUGACGCAG
rnacentral:rRNA from 1 species